rnacentral:tRNA from 2 species
CCCAACGGUCUUGAAAACCGUCGGCCGGUCAAACGGCCCGUGAGUUCGAAUCUCACAGCCU